rnacentral:sRNA from 1 species
UCAUUCGUUGCAGAUGUUGCCCUCCCAGU